GCCCAGAUGGCGGAACUGGUAGACGCGUCAGACUCAAAAUCUGGUAUCAGCAAUGAUGUGCAGGUUCGAUUCCUGUUCUGGGCACCA
rnacentral:tRNA from 1 species